CGUGUUUACUGUCUAGCCUGGCGCCCCACCACCCGCUUCUGUGGCUGCGGCCAGUCAGACCCUUCUCCGCCUUUUCAGAAGUUGUCGAUUGCAUCUCUGCAAAAGAUUGCUGUCAGGAUAGAAAUAGUCCUUACAGAAGUGGAAAUUUGGGGAAAACCUGCAAAAUGGCUCUGUCUUCUGACUAGGUGUAAUAUGGAUAAGAAGAUUGGAGUUAAUUAAUCAAGUGGUGGUGCCUGUGUGGCAGCAGUGAGCACAAAGUAUGAACCAUCUCCAGAAGUGAGGCCCAGUCAAGCAUACACCCACAGUCUCCGGUUCAGUUUUCAGUUAACAUUACAGAAUAAGCUACAUCCUAUGUGCAAUAUUCUAAGGUUUGUCAGUGAACCCACCUCUUCUUCUGCACUGUUUUGUUUUGUUUUUUUUUUUUUUUAAUAAAAAGCCAUAGUUCAACUUUUAAGCAAUAUUUUAAAUGUUGGGUAUCAAAUGGUUUGCUGUGGAGCAGUUGGUUUCCUUCCAUUUCACAUUGUACAUUUAACA